GGGAACUCCGGUGAAUAUUUUUGGGCGAAAUGCAGAAGGAAGAAGAUAUUCGCAAUCUUCCAAUCGACAUAGCAUUCACUCGACUCGGAGAGUGGCUGGUUGAUCGGAAAAGAAUUCCGGCCGAUUGGCGGAAACGACUUGCCGCCGUUAGAGCUAAGAUUACGACGUCGUUUGCCUCGCUGCCUAGAGACAUUGAUCCUUACUUCCACACUCUUGAUAUUGAAGGGAUCGGUUAUUUGGAAGCCAAAAAAAUAUAUGAGAUUCUUCUGAAGUCAACUCAAGAAAGCCGUAAUAUUUUUGGUCGGCUUUCAGGUGAUGCUGGUGUUUGGGAAGCAGUAGUGCGUGCCUAUGAGAAGGAAUACAUUUUUCUUGGUGAAUCCGCUCAGAUUAUGGUUCAAAAUGUUAACUAUGAGAUCCCCUAUCAAAAGAAGCAGAUUCAGAAGACACAGCAGCAAUUAGCUGAGUUGGAGCGCAAGGAAGCAGAUAUAAAAAGAAAUGCAGCUCUUUCGGCAUCUAAAUAUGUAGAGGCUUGUCAAGAGUUGGGCCUGCAGGGAGUAAAUGUGAGGUCAGAACUUUUGGAAACUUCCACUAUAUCUCUUCCAAGCACAUUUAGCAGAAUCUUGGAAGUACUUACUGGUGAUUCUGUCUCACGGGCUAUUGAGUUCUACUCAGAGUUCGUCAAAGAUGUUCAUACGGAAAAGGAUAAAACAGUAGCAGUUGUGUUAUCAAAUCUGAGAAGUGCUCGUGAAAGGCCCCCAGCGAUUGAUGUCUCUGUUAGCACUGAAGUUCUGGAAGUUAUGAAUGCUCAAGCAGGCUAUCAUGGCUUAAGUCAAAUAACUGUAGAAACUGACACUGUAGCUGAUGGGGUUGACUGGGAUAUUACUUUAGAUAGCUCUCAGAUUGAUUGGGACAUUGGCACCGUGGAAGAAACAGAAGAAAAUGGAAAUGGUUUGGGUCCCUAUGAGAUUGUUAAUGCUAGCGAUAUUAUGUCAUCUCCUCGUAAAGAUGAUGUAAAAUCUCAUCAGACCUCAAUGGAAGAAGGAUUCCUUGCUCCUGAGGUCUCUGCAUCAGAAAUAUCUUGGAAUGUAAGUGUUGACAAUCCUCAAGUUGAUGUGAUUGAUAAAUCACAAAAUAAUGCAGUGGAAUUGCACUCUCUUCAAAAUAAUUUAACUGCCAACCCAGUAGCUAUCCAUGACAGGAGUCCUCUACUGGAGACAGAAUACAGGAAUAAAAUACUUGAUGACUUAUUUGAGGUGAAAGCCUUCUUGAAUCAACGGUUUAUUGAGCUAAGGAACGAAGAUACUACGUCUUUACAACAUCAAGUCCAGGCAGUUGCUCCACUUGUUCUGCAGCAGUACUCUUCUGAUAUAAUUCAGACAAUGCUAUCUGACGUUUCUUCAGCAAUUUCAUUGCUUACAAAUAGGAAAACAAGGGAUAUGAUCAUGAUCCUCAACUCCGUAAGAUUUUUAGAUCGGCUGGUCAACACUUUGGAGGAGAAAAAGCGUCAGGAAGCGAAGUUAAAGGACGGAUUGAAGGACUUGUCUAGUAAGCGUAUGGAACUUCAGAAUUCAAUGUCUUCAUCCUGGCCAAAACAAGAAGCAGCUCUUGCCCAGACCAGGGAACUGAAGAAACUUUGUGAGAGUACACUUUCAUCCAUGUUUGAAGGACGGCCGGUGAAUAUCAUAGGAGAGAUUAAUACAUUGUUGAUUAGUAGCUAUUGUUAGAAGAGGCUUGAGCAACUCUUAUACAUCUUGUAGUUUUUGUUAUUAUUGACACUGUACAAGUUAGAAAUACAGAGUUGAACCUGAUGC
rnacentral:misc_RNA from 1 species